rnacentral:lncRNA from 1 species
GCAUAUGGCUUUGAGGUUAUGCCACAGAGUUGGAGUGCUGCCCUUGCAGACUCUGAGGGCCCAUGGUUCCAGUGGGUGGCCUUGAUGUGCUCCAUGGCAUCUGAAGGUGGUGUUCCUACUGAUGGUGAUGUGUCUGGACUGGAGAUGUAGGUCAUAAUGGCUGCAUGAAAGGGACUGGACCCAUAGAAUACACUACUCCAAAAGGAAGCUUCUGGCACCAAAGAAGACCCUAAUUUAGUCUCCUCCAUCACCAACAAGUGAAUAGUGGGCUGCAUCUGUGAAGAGUACAACAGUGCUGUCCUCUAGUUUUUGGCUGCACAAAGGUGAGACCCAGCAAUGCCCUAACUGUGAAAUCCAUUACUAUCUGGUGCCCCGCCAGUUG